AUGGUCUGCACUCGAAAAUGUUACUUCGGCCACGAGCAUCACCUGUUCCAGGAGCGACCACUACUGCUUCUACAUUCCCUCGCCAGUGGCGUCCUGCUGGUAGACUGGACUUGUCUCCUCGCCCUGCACUACUACUGGUUCUGCAAUCCUGUUUCCAGCUGCGGUCUUCAAGCGUACCCAGCGUGCCCCUGCACUACUCUAUGGUCUGCACUCGAAAAUGUUACUUCGGCCACGAGCAUCACCUGUUCCAGGAGCGACCACUACUGCUUCUACAUUCCCUUGCCAGUGGCGUCCUGCUGGUAGACUGGACUUGUCUCCUCGCCCUGCACUACUACUGGUUCUGCACUCCCGUUUUCGACUGCGGUCGGUACCUAGCAGGCUCCAGCACGUCGACUCUCCUUUCUGCACUCCAAAAGAGAUUACUUCGGGCGCCAGCAUCACCCGUUCCAUGAGCGACUGCUUUUGCUUCCACGUUCUCUCGCGGACGGCGUCUUGCUGUAAGACUGGACUUAGCCUGGCGUCCUUGCACUUAAUUCUGGUUCCCAGUGUUUGCUGUCGCUUGUGGCGCAAGAGAAUUGUUCCAGACGCUCAUUUACAAGAAAAUCCCUGACCUUGCCUCACGAGCAACAAUCUUCAGCACGGUCGUCCUGCCACGUCCUCUAUACAAGAUUCCUCAUACUCGUGAACGCGUCGCACGUCUGUCAUGGCGGUGUCCUGCACUGUGUGGACGGCGUGUUCAUGCUCUGAAGGACUGCGUGUCGUCACCGUCCCAUCAGCAUCGGAUGUGCUCCUACAGUUCGGUGUUGCCUUUUUGCACAGGCAUAUUUAAGUUUAGCGUAGCGAGCUUCUCUGCUUUGGAAGAGGGGUACGUUGCUCUGCGAAUGGACGGCGCUUUUAGGAAUCGAGUUAAUACGAAGCAGAACAGUAAAAGAGGUCUGGUUACGUGGACACCACUCGGUCCUUAAUAAGGGAUGUCAAUGUUUUCAUGACUCGAUCAGUAAAUUUUUGGUGGCGAGAGUAAUGGACAUUCAUUGACAUUGUGCACUUUUGUAGUAACGUGUGUGUGUGUGUGUGUGUGUGUGUGUGUGUGUGUGUGUGUGUGUGUGUGUGUGUGUGUGUGUGUGUGUGUGUGUGUGUGUGUGUGUGUGUGUGUGUGUGUGUCCUACUAAGUGCUCCAUCUUUCCGAUCGACAACGUAUGAUGUGGGUUCCGCAGCUAGCUGGCGCACUUCGAAUUUUUUUAUAUGUUGGUAGCAUUUCCAGCGUCACAGUUGCUUCACUUUACCCGGUUCAUUCCUGUUGAGAUUCCUGGUUUGAUGGUUUACUAUCGUCUAUGGACAUGCGCUUUUGGAUUCGUCGAACCGCUGGUUUCCUUUACUUUGGACCAUGGGUUGAUCGCUGUGGUCGUUUCAGCAUUCAGCAGGUAUUGUUCGGACGCCUUUCUCGUGCCAGAAACGGUCUUGACACAUUCUCGGUUCUUCCACGUUGCUCAUCACUGGCUCGGAAAGAUUAACAUGCCACUACAAAAGGACACAAUGUCAGUGAAUGGGAAAGGGGAGGGUGGUUAUUCUCGCCAACAAAGAUUUCCUGAUUUGCUCAUGAUGAUAAUGACGUCCAUCUUUAAGACUGGUUGGUGUCAAAGGUCACCGGGCUCGCUGUUUCUAGUUUUCUGGUGUCCUUCACUACUCAAAUGCUCUUAUGGAUCUACAUGGUCCAACCUAUGUAUUACCUGUCGUUUAUCAGACAGUGCUUCCCGCUGUCGUCGCUUGUUCACCGCUUACACAGUGCCGUAGUUUGAUAUUUGUGUCCAUAACUAUCGCGUACUCUGCAAGAUAGGUAAGAAUACUGAAGCGCCCUGGCGCCUUUCACGCUCCUGUGACGUCGUUGCCUGCUGACUUGUUCAGAUUACGCACACUUGUGUAAUCUCGCGAUUAAAGUGCACCGCGUGAGCCAUUGUCAAACAGCUACUUCGAAGGGGCUACAUGUACUCCCCUUAUGCCAAGUCGUGUGUAAACGUCUAGAGAAGUCGCGUGCACGAGCUCGCUCAAAGAAAUCUUGAUUAGAAAAUGUCUGCUCGUUUUUUUUUUUUUUUUUUUGAGUGUUGAAGCGAAUUAAGUUUACCAGGUUCGCCCCCGUACUUUCUUUUUUUUUUUGCUGCACGCUGUCUUUCCAUUGCUCUUCGCAUGCAUCUUAUUGCGUUUGCGUUGAAUAGUGAUUGAAUUUGCACAUGCUACCACUGUUCUAAUCUCGAUAUAAGAACGCACACUUGAUUUAUUGCGAAUUCCAUUGUUCCCAACGUGUAAUAACCUUACCUCUGCGUUGCUCGAUGACCGAAUAUAACAUGAGCACUGUCCGUGGUAAAUGGUUA
rnacentral:misc_RNA from 1 species